ACACAACCUAUAAUUCUGCCACAAUCGCCAUAAAGAAAACAUUCAACCACAAAAGUAUCUCAUAAAACCAUUUUAAAAUAACAAACCGCAAGGGCUAAAUAAUUAGUUAAAUAAAGAAAGAAUAACCAUCUCUCCCUUUUGCAUCAUGGAGAAGCAACAUUCAUAUUAACAACACUUAAGCUCCCGAAAAAAUAUGAGCUACUAACCCCUCAAAAUUAAUGUAUCACAAUUAAUAAACUAGCCGUUAGUAGAAGUAACAAGCCUUUCACAUUUUUUGAUAGCUGGUUUUCCCUAAAAAGCAUUAAAGUGCUAGUUUAUGGCACUUACAACUCCAUAUCGCCACAAACCAAAAACUACCGAGGACAAGCUCGGUAGUUUCUUUUAAAAUAGAUAAAUACACAAAGUUACAAGUAGGCCUAAAAACAGCCAACUUACUGCGUUCUAGCAUAUAAACACAAUCAAAACAUACAAAACAAAUAAAUUUUAAUACAUAAGGGAAUCUAAUGUAAAAUAAUUUACAACUUUAUCAAACAGGCAUUCUAUUAGUAUAACCUAUUUCGUUCAACACAUCACCUAAAAAUCAAGUGAACUAAACAAUCCACAUAGGACAGUAAAAUAUACGUAAUGAACUCGGCAACACUGUUUUUCGCCUGUUUACCAAAAACAUCGUUUCUCGAGAAUACAAACAUGAGAAAUAAUGCCUGCCCAGUGAAUACCAAAAAGAUUUUAACGGCCGCGUUAGCGUGAGCGUGCUAAGGUAGCGUAAUAAAUAGCCUUUUAAUUGGAGGCCAGUGAAUGGCAACACGGAAAAUCCCUGUAUCACGUAUAUUAAUAAAACUUUAUUUUUGGGUGAAAAAGCCCAAAUAAUUGAGGAAGACAAAAAGACCCCGCGGAGCUUUACUUUAUCAAGCCAAACAAAUCUACCAGAUUGGUUAUGCUAAUAGGUUUGGUUGGGGCAACCCUGGAACCAUCAAAGCUUCCAGUAUUAACCAAGAAGCACAUAAAAAACAUCUUCGGACUAAAAAGAAGUUACCCCGGGGAUAACAGCGUAAUCCAACUUAAGAGUACGCAUCGAAAGUUGGGUUUGCGACCUCGAUGUUGGCUUAAGGUAAUUCACAUGAGCGCAGCCGCUAUGAGAGAAUAGUCUGUUCGACUAUUAUACCCUUACAUGAGCUGAGUUAAGACCGGCGCAAGCUAGGUUGGUUUCUAUCUCCUCUACAUCAUUCUACUCUUAAUUGUACGAAAGGACCCUGAGAUGUGCAAACUUCCAGCAACCAUAAUAUAAACGCAUAAAUUUAUACUCAAACUAAUCCUAUAUAACAACACU
rnacentral:rRNA from 1 species